AGCGUACACGGUGGAUGCCCUGGCAGUCAGAGGCGAUGAAGGACGUGCUAAUCUGCGAUAAGCGUCGGUGAGGUGAUAUGAACCGUUAUAACCGGCGAUUUCCGAAUGGGGAAACCCAGUGUGUUUCGACACACUAUCAUUAACUGAAUCCAUAGGUUAAUGAGGCGAACCGGGGGAACUGAAACAUCUAAGUACCCCGAGGAAAAGAAAUCAACCGAGAUUCCCCCAGUAGCGGCGAGCGAACGGGGAGGAGCCCAGAGCCUGAAUCAGUGUGUGUGUUAGUGGAAGCGUCUGGAAAGGCGUGCGAUACAGGGUGACAGCCCCGUACACAAAAAUGCACAUAUUGUGAGCUCGAUGAGUAGGGCGGGACACGUGGUAUCCUGUCUGAAUAUGGGGGGACCAUCCUCCAAGGCUAAAUACUCCUGACUGACCGAUAGUGAACCAGUACCGUGAGGGAAAGGCGAAAAGAACCCCGGCGAGGGGAGUGAAAAAGAACCUGAAACCGUGUACGUACAAGCAGUGGGAGCCUCUUAAUGGGGUGACUGCGUACCUUUUGUAUAAUGGGUCAGCGACUUAUAUUCUGUAGCAAGGUUAACCGAAUAGGGGAGCCGAAGGGAAACCGAGUCUUAACUGGGCGUUAAGUUGCAGGGUAUAGACCCGAAACCCGGUGAUCUAGCCAUGGGCAGGUUGAAGGUUGGGUAACACUAACUGGAGGACCGAACCGACUAAUGUUGAAAAAUUAGCGGAUGACUUGUGGCUGGGGGUGAAAGGCCAAUCAAACCGGGAGAUAGCUGGUUCUCCCCGAAAGCUAUUUAGGUAGCGCCUCGUGAAUUCAUCUCCGGGGGUAGAGCACUGUUUCGGCAAGGGGGUCAUCCCGACUUACCAACCCGAUGCAAACUGCGAAUACCGGAGAAUGUUAUCACGGGAGACACACGGCGGGUGCUAACGUCCGUCGUGAAGAGGGAAACAACCCAGACCGCCAGCUAAGGUCCCAAAGUCAUGGUUAAGUGGGAAACGAUGUGGGAAGGCCCAGACAGCCAGGAUGUUGGCUUAGAAGCAGCCAUCAUUUAAAGAAAGCGUAAUAGCUCACUGGUCGAGUCGGCCUGCGCGGAAGAUGUAACGGGGCUAAACCAUGCACCGAAGCUGCGGCAGCGACACUAUGUGUUGUUGGGUAGGGGAGCGUUCUGUAAGCCUGUGAAGGUGGCCUGUGAGGGUUGCUGGAGGUAUCAGAAGUGCGAAUGCUGACAUAAGUAACGAUAAAGCGGGUGAAAAGCCCGCUCGCCGGAAGACCAAGGGUUCCUGUCCAACGUUAAUCGGGGCAGGGUGAGUCGACCCCUAAGGCGAGGCCGAAAGGCGUAGUCGAUGGGAAACAGGUUAAUAUUCCUGUACUUGGUGUUACUGCGAAGGGGGGACGGAGAAGGCUAUGUUGGCCGGGCGACGGUUGUCCCGGUUUAAGCGUGUAGGCUGGUUUUCCAGGCAAAUCCGGAAAACCAAGGCUGAGGCGUGAUGACGAGGCACUACGGUGCUGAAGUGACAAAUGCCCUGCUUCCAGGAAAAGCCUCUAAGCAUCAGGUAACAUCAAAUCGUACCCCAAACCGACACAGGUGGUCAGGUAGAGAAUACCAAGGCGCUUGAGAGAACUCGGGUGAAGGAACUAGGCAAAAUGGUGCCGUAACUUCGGGAGAAGGCACGCUGAUAUGUAGGUGAAGCGACUUGCUCGUGGAGCUGAAAUCAGUCGAAGAUACCAGCUGGCUGCAACUGUUUAUUAAAAACACAGCACUGUGCAAACACGAAAGUGGACGUAUACGGUGUGACGCCUGCCCGGUGCCGGAAGGUUAAUUGAUGGGGUUAGCGGUAACGCGAAGCUCUUGAUCGAAGCCCCGGUAAACGGCGGCCGUAACUAUAACGGUCCUAAGGUAGCGAAAUUCCUUGUCGGGUAAGUUCCGACCUGCACGAAUGGCGUAAUGAUGGCCAGGCUGUCUCCACCCGAGACUCAGUGAAAUUGAACUCGCUGUGAAGAUGCAGUGUACCCGCGGCAAGACGGAAAGACCCCGUGAACCUUUACUAUAGCUUGACACUGAACAUUGAGCCUUGAUGUGUAGGAUAGGUGGGAGGCUUUGAAGUGUGGACGCCAGUCUGCAUGGAGCCGACCUUGAAAUACCACCCUUUAAUGUUUGAUGUUCUAACGUUGGCCCGUAAUCCGGGUUGCGGACAGUGUCUGGUGGGUAGUUUGACUGGGGCGGUCUCCUCCUAAAGAGUAACGGAGGAGCACGAAGGUUGGCUAAUCCUGGUCGGACAUCAGGAGGUUAGUGCAAUGGCAUAAGCCAGCUUGACUGCGAGCGUGACGGCGCGAGCAGGUGCGAAAGCAGGUCAUAGUGAUCCGGUGGUUCUGAAUGGAAGGGCCAUCGCUCAACGGAUAAAA
rnacentral:rRNA from 1 species